AUUGCGGUUUACGAUUUAUCACUUAUAAAAAAAAAAAACUACUUACUAGAUCUCGUUCAAACCAAUUUUCGGUGGAAGUUUGCAUGGUAAUGUACAUCAUAUAGUUUUUUUAGUUUUAUCAUUCUCUUUUUUUAGAAGUUACACACACAUUUUACCACUUUGGAAGUGUCUCUCACGCAAACUAUUCAGUUUAGAAAAAAAUGAUAUUAGAAACCUCAAUAUCAUUUUUGAAUUCUAAGUAUGAGAAACCCCCAAAAUUUAUUGUUUUUUUUUUUCUAUUUUUGUGUGAAAAUCUUAAUCCGGUUCACAGAAUACAUCUACUUACCAAGUUUCAACA